rnacentral:lncRNA from 1 species
GGGGUGUUUACUGUUGAGUGAGGGUCUACUACUCUGGAUGAAGAAUAUUUAGCUUGAAGUAGAGGCAAAGGCACGAAGGUGAAACCUGACAUAACUUCCGGGAGGAGUCUGGAACUAUAGAACGGUGCCGAUACAUCUCUAUGACAACCACAACGCGUUCUCUGCAUUCUCCUGCGCUUUUACGAAGCUCUCCAAAGAAACGGAGGGAAACUCAGGUCAGACUCAGAGACCAACAAUUUCAAUCUAUCCAGAGCUACAUGACGUAAAGAAAAGGGUCUCAUCGGUACAGUCAGCCCCAGAUGAGCAUCUGUCCCAGGGGGAGAUCAAGGCCCUGCUCCCCCGGAGGCUGGUGGAGAGGGUAGAGGAUGUGAGGGCAGCGUUCAAAGGCCUGGACCCUGAGGGGAGCGGCUCAGUGACCCGGGGGGAGUUCAGACAGGUGGUGGAGGCCUUCCUCUUCCCCCUCACGCAGACCCAGCUCAACGCCAUGCUGGCCAUGUGGUCCUUAUACGCUGAGUAAACUGACUUUGUUGGUCUCCUGUGGGUGUCUAAGAGAGAUAGUGUAAAGGUGGACUACAUUGACUUCCUGAGGAGGUAAAGCAGGGUGACUACAGCACAGAGACCCUACAGCUCUACACCCUCAUCUACAGCACAGAGACCCUACAGCUCUACACCCUCCUCUACAGCACAGAGACCCUACAGCUCUACACCCUCAUCUACAGCACAGAGACCCUACAGCUCUACACCCUCCUCUACAGCACAGAGACCCUACAGCUCUACACCCUCCUCUACAGCACAGAGACCCGACAGCUCUACACCCUCCUCUACAGCACAGAGACCCUACAGCUCUACACCCUCCUCUACAGCACAGAGACCAGACAGCUCUACACCCUCCUCUACAACACAGAGACCAGACAACUCUACACCCUCCUCUACAGCACAGAGACCAGACAACUCUACAUCCUCCUCUACAGCACAGAGACCAGACAGCUCUACACCCUCAUCUACAGCACAGAGACCCUACAGCUCUACACCCUCCUCUACAGCACAGAGACCCUACAGCUCUACACCCUCCUCUACAGCACAGAGACCAGACAACUCUACACCCUCAUCUACAGCACAGAGACCCUACAGCUCUACACCCUCCUCUACAGCACAGAGACCCUACAGCUAUACACCCUCCUCUACAGCACAGAGACCAGACAGCAACACCAGAUUGGGAGCAACCUGAAGAAUGUAAUCCGGGCCUUUCGUCUGUUCGACUACAACCCGAGACGGACAGAUCCAGCAACACGAGCUGCGCAGGAUACUGGAGAACUACUGCUUCCCUUUAACACAGAGAGACUACCAGAGAUAAAACGGACUAUGAUUUCAUCUCCUCUCCACUGCAGACUGUGGACCCACUAAAGCCCUAACGUCAUGGCAACAAUGUCCUACAAAGUGUUCCUGGAGAAGCUGGGCCUGGAAUCUAACAGGUACAGGAAGACUGUCCCGGAGCCUCCAAAGCUAGCGUUGGGCUGGCUAGGAAUUAGUCCUCCAGACAAGACAAAACGGAGGAACAGAGCAGCGUCCCAGGACAACAACAGGAGAUACACAGGAGAUCCAAAGCCUGACUCAAGACAAGCUGCAGAUGCUCUUCCUGGAAAAAGUUGUGUGUGAGCUGUACCCUAGUGUGACGAGCACUGCAAGCAUUUGAUGUCACCCACUCUGGACUGGUGUCACAGGAAGACCUGAGGGCCAUGCUCAGCAGCUUCCUGUUUCCCAUGAGCCUCAGCACCUUCCAGAGCCUGACCUGCCGCAUAGGGAGGAUCACCAGGGCAGACCUUCGUCAGGCUUUGGAAGUCCCCCAGUAUAACCUGAGGGGUCCCCAGGGCUCCUGGUCCAGCCGCAGGGAGCCCCACACCCCCAGGCCCCGUCUGAGCCCAGCCCAGGUCAGAGAGCUUCUGAUCCUGCUGGACCCAGAGCACACUGGGGUCAUCACCCAGCCCAGCCUGAAGCUGCUCAACCCCAGGAGGGUGCACAGGAGAUCAUGGAGGAUGUGGCUCAGGGACAGGAAGUUCAGUGUAUGUGUGUGUGUUUGUUGAUGUGUUGGCACAUGCUCAUGUGUGUGUCUGUUGACUAAGGAGGAGCAGAGGGAGUUGAAUGAGACUCAGUAUCCACAGUGGAUUGAAAAGGCACCCACGGCAGCAGACACAUGGACUACCGUGAAGGGCUUGCUGCGUGAUAAGCUGAGUGAUCAGAUAGGUUCCAUGCUGGAGGCUUUAGUGGACUGUGACCCGCGACAGACAGACUGAACUCCCAAUCCCAGAAUGCCUUGGUGAACAACAGGCCAGUGUAUUCCCCCAGCACCACUGUGGGGGGGUCCAAGGGUUUGCACAGUGGAGAACAUUAUGUUCAGGAAGCUCAAAUAGAGGCUGGACCACAGACACGUUACCCUCGACGACCAUAUCCGGGCAACGGCCAGAUGCUCAGACGGAAUGCUGUCGUUGAGAGAUCUAAAGAAGAUACUGGAUGACAGCUGGAUCACCUUGGAUGAGAAGCAGUUCCGCAAGCUUAACGUGUCGCUUGGUUUCAAAGACAGAAAAAUGUCCUGUUCGGCUUUCCUGGCUGGUGGUACGAGUCGAGUGCGACUCUUAACUUGCCAUGGUCAAGAGACUCAGACUGUUCUCUAAAUUAGUGUCCUAGAAAGGGGAGAUAAAGAGAGGGUCAUUCCACUUGAAAACCCCUCAGAAAUCCUCAACCCCAACUCUCCCCAACCAGCACCCCACCCACGGCGAUCAAAGGUCCCGUCCCAACCCCCCCGCCUCC